UACGGGGGGAGCAAGCGUUGUUCGGAUUUACUGGGCGUAAAGGGCGCGUAGGCGGCCACCGCAAGUCGACUGUGAAAUCUCCGGGCUUAACCCGGAAAGGUCAGCCGAUACUGCGGGGCUAGAGUGCAGAAGGGGCAACUGGAAUUCUCGGUGUAGCGGUGAAAUGCGUAGAUAUCAAGAGGAACACCUGCGGCGAAGGCGGGUUGCUGGGCCGACACUGACGCUGAUGCGCGAAAGCCAGGGGAGCGAACGGG
rnacentral:rRNA from 1 species